rfam:Larimichthys crocea isolate SSNF unplaced genomic scaffold scaffold86, whole genome shotgun sequence.
CUGUAACCGGGUUCAAGUAAUCCAGGAUAGGCUUUUUCUAUCUGUCUUGGCCUAUGCUUGAUUACUUGCACUUGGGGGCAG